GAAAUAGUGAGUCUGCUUCUGAGGAAAGAAGCUUCGGGCGAGAGAGACGACCAACAAUGGCGACCGCUUCCGCAUCAGGUCGAAGCAACAGAGACGGUACGGCCAAAGGCAUGGUGGCCGACCACAUUUCUCAGUCAGUUCGAUCCACUUCAAAUCUCCUUCAUCUGAUGCAGCAAUCUUCUUCGGCUCAGUUGAGUUUGUCAUAUAGUUCAUCUUGCCUGCAGGCUCAGUUAGCAAAAUUGCCAAAGAACCUUUUGGCGAAAGCAUCUACUAUAAAAAAUACUGAGAAAAUCUUAGAGCAGAUGCCGCAAGUGGUUUCAUCAUUAGAUGCAUAUGUUGAGAAGGGACUAGAAAGCAUUCCUCAUUUGCAGACUGUUGUGCAACUACUUACAAACAUGGAAAGCACCCAACUAAAAUCUCUCUCCCAAAUCCAACAUCCUAAAGAGGAAAUCGAGUCUCUUCAUCAACUGAAAGAUGUGGACUAACAGUUCUGCCCUUCUAGAACGUGUCACCUACAGUGUAAAUAUAGGAUCAUAAGGGGUAUCACCGGUGAGACCAUGGAAGAAUUCAAUUGCCCGGACUAUUACUUCUACUUCUGCUGAACCUGAUUCCAUUGUAGGAACCUCUAUUCCUUUCCCUUUUCUUGCUUGAUUUCACUCUUUGACGAUAUUCUCUAUUUAUUCUUUUACGAGGUCUAUAGAAUAG